rnacentral:misc_RNA from 1 species
GUUAGAGCUCUCUUUUAACGAGUUCACAUUUUCAGCAAUAAUAGGUCGAGGAAAGAAUAGGCCCGUGACUCAAACCUGGGCGAGAGAUCACAGCAACUUGGUAUCAAAGCUUAUUUGUGGAUGAAUAUUUGUUAUGAUCACAAGAAUAGGCUCUGAUACCAAGUAGUUAUGAUCCAUCUCCUAGGAUCGAAUCAUGGGCCUAUUAAUAGUAAAAUCUGAUUCAAAAGCUGAACCUUUUGCUUUACCUCGAUUUUGGGCGAGAGAUCACAACAACUUGGUAUCAGAGCUGAUUGUCAUGGACAAUAUAGAUCCGAGAGAAGAAUUGAGGGCGCUAUUCCA